GAGUCAGAGCAGAGCCACACCAGCUGCACCUCGAUGUCUAUAAUCAAGCCUCUACAAAUACUCGGCUCUGCCACUUCCACCGCUGCCAGAUCGCAGCCUCAGCAUCAUUCCAUCAGCUCUAUCUACGGCCCCUCAUCACAUCUCAUCUCAACCUGUCGGCCCUGCUUCCCUGCCCUGGACCCCCUGUUCUGCUCUUCCCAGCGUCCAAGCCCAAUCCUCAGCUUCCAGCCGAAGCUUCCCCUGGACUGCGUUCCCUUUCCCCAGCCUUCACAGUAAAUACCUUGUUGCUGUUAUAUCCCUUUUUCCUCGCCUUGAGUGUCUGCUCUACCCCACGUAACAACAGAAGUCAUAAUGAGUAAUGAGACAGGUUCUAGAUUAGCCAAAUGUAUUCAAAAAAAUAAACGAAUUAUUACCCAAACUAUCCAGGAUCGUCCUAAACAUUUAACAAACCGACUUCCUGCUUCAACUUUUUGCUCACCGUAACCAUGCACACGAAGUUCCUGUGCAAUGAAGGGUACUUGGGGACAUUUUUUUUUUAAAUUUCAUAAAUGUAAGAUUUAUUCAUUCCAUGAUUUCGAGUGCUGAAUACUGAGAACAGCGAGAACCACUGGCAACAGCUCCCAGACAACAUUAGGUCUGUUCACUCUCCUGGACAAAAACGCCAAUUUCUCAGCAAUCUUUUUACUUUUCAACAUUUUCAGAUAGGUACUAUAGAGGAGAGUUCUGGCAGAAAAAUAAAACUUUUUCAAUGUGCUGCAGUCUAUUAGGGCGCAUCAAGAUUGAGUCUUACGGACAUAGAGUCCAGCGUAGGUGAGACAUGGCAGGAAGUUGUGACAGUUUGUUAUUAAGGGAAAAAUUCUGACUUUUAAAUUAGACGAAGGAAUUUCAUGAUUACACUUAGUAGAGAAAACUGUUAAUCAGUACACUGUUGUGUGUUUUGAUUGAUGUGAUAUUUUAGUAUGUUGACAUUUAUGUCACUAGGAAACAGCAUUUUGAAAUCAUUUUGCUGCUUUUAUUCAAGGGAUGUUGAGGUGAUGAUGUUGAGAAUGUUAUUAAAAUAUUUUAUUUA